rnacentral:snRNA from 1 species
AAAGGUCCACUUAUAGAUAGAUA